rnacentral:rRNA from 1 species
UGCGCAGGCGGGCUUGUAAGUCAGUGGUGAAAUACUGCCGCUUAACGGUAGAACUGCCAUUGAUACUGCGAGUCUUGAAUAUGGUUGAGGUAGGCGGAAUGUGUUGUGUAGCGGUGAAAUGCAUAGAUAUGACACAGAACGCCGAUUGCGACGGCAGCUUACUAAGCCAUUAUUGACGCUGAGGCACGAAAGCGUGGGGAGCGAACAGGAUUAGAUACCCUGGUAGUCC